CAGUGGCUGGUCAAACUGGAUUGGUUUUCAACUUUAUUUCCCAGAAUUCCAGUUCCAAUUCAACAAAAAAUACAGAAACAUUUAGAGGGCCGUUUCCCACCACAUGCCGUCCAAGCAGCUUCAGAACGUGCGAGGGAAGACCGACAAUACGAACGAGACAGGCCUCGUCAGGAUCGACCACCGAGAGAUGACGUCCACCGAAGCUUUUUACGGGACGACGACCGAAGAAUAGAUCGAGAUACCAGAUUCGACAGACGGGACAGAGAUGUAGACCGGCGGGACCGAGAAAGAAAAUAUAGAGACCGAAGUCCAGUGAGGCGAAACUCCAGGAGUCCUCAACGGUCGCAUAAGCAUAGAGAUAGAAGUAGGGAUAGGCGGAAUCGCUAUUAAAUAAUUUAACUGUACCGAAAUAUGAGAAUGUUUGUUUCUUUUUUUAAUAUAACGUGUAAAUUUUCAAAAGAUA
rnacentral:lncRNA from 1 species